GAUGAACGCUGGCGGCGUGCCUAAUACAUGCAAGUCGAGCGAACAGACGAGGAUCUUGCUCCUCUGACGUUAGCGGCGGACGGGUGAGUAACACGUGGAUAACCUACCUAUAAGACUGGGAUAACUUCGGGAAACCGGAGCUAAUACCGGAUAAUAUAUUGAACCGCAUGGUUCAAUAGUGAAAGACGGUUUUGCUGUCACUUAUAGAUGGAUCCGCGCCGCAUUAGCUAGUUGGUAAGGUAACGGCUUACCAAGGCAACGAUGCGUAGCCGACCUGAGAGGGUGAUCGGCCACGAUGGCACUGAGACACGGUCCAGACUCCUACGGGAGGCAGCAGUAGGGAAUCUUACGAAAUGGGCGAAAGCCUGACGGAGAAACGCCGCGUGAGUGAUGAAGGUCUUCGGAUCGUAAAACUCUGUUACUAGGGAAGAACAAAUGUGUAAGUAACUAUGCACGUCUUGACGGUACCGAAUCAGAAAGCAACGGCUAACUACGUG
rnacentral:rRNA from 1 species